CGCGUAGGCGGACAGUUAAGUUGGGGGUGAAAGCCCGGGGCUCAACCUCGGAAUUGCCUUCAAUACUGGCUGUCUUGAGUAUGAGAGAGGUGUGUGGAACUCCGAGUGUAGAGGUGAAAUUCGUAGAUAUUCGGAAGAACACCAGUGGCGAAGGCGACACACUGGCUCAUUACUGACGCUGAGGCGCGAAAGCGUGGGGAGCAAACAGGAUUAGAUACCCUGGUAGUCCACGCUGUAAACGAUGAGUGCUAGUUGUCGGGCGGCAUGCCGUUCGGUGACGCAGCUAACGCAUUAAGCACUCCGCCUGGGGAGUACGGUCGCAAGAUUAAA
rnacentral:rRNA from 1 species